rnacentral:rRNA from 1 species
AGCGAACGCUGGCGGCGUGCUUAACACAUGCAAGUCGAACGUGAAAGGGAGCAAUCCUGAGUAAAGUGGAGAACGGGUGAGUAACACGUAGGUAAUCUACCCUAAAGUCUGGAAUAACCUGCCGAAAGGCGAGCUAAUACUGGAUAGAGUGAUGGAACCCAUAAAGGGUUUUUCGGGAAAGGGUGGAAGCAAUUCCCUUUGCUUUAGGAUGAGCCUGCGUCCCAUCAGCUAGUUGGGAGAGUAAAAGCCUACCAAGGCAAUGACGGGUAGCUGGUCUGAGAGGAUGAUCAGCCACACUGGAACUGAAACACGGUCCAGACUCCUACGGGAGGCAGCAGUGGGGAAUCUUGCGCAAUGGGCGAAAGCCUGACGCAGCCACGCCGCGUGAGUGAAGAAGGCCUUCGGGUUGUAAAGCUCUGUCGCCCGGGACGAAAAGCUUUAAGGUGAAUAGCCUUAGAGUGUGACGGUACCGGGAAAGGAAGCACCGGCUAACUCCGUGCCAGCCGCCGCCGUAA